AGGUUAAGUUAACAAGGGCGCAUGGUGAAUGCCUUGGCACUAGGAGCCGAUGAAGGACGGGACUAACACCGAUAUGCUUCGGGGAGCUGUACGUAAGCUAUGAUCCGGAGAUUUCCGAAUGGGGCAACCCAGCAGUUUUAAUCAACUGUUACCACUAGAUGAAUUCAUAGUCUAGUUGGAGGUAAACGCUGUGAACUGAAACAUCUCAUUAGCAGCAGGAAUAUAAAGAAAUUUCGAUUCCCUAAGUAGCGGCGAGCGAACGGGGAACAGCCCAAACCAAAGUGCUUGCACUUUGGGGUUGUAGGACUGAACAUUUGAGUUACCAAAGAACUUGAUAGUCGAAGGAUUUGGGAAAAUCCGCCAUAGAUGGUGAUAGCCCAGUAGAUUAAAUCAAGUUCUCUCAGUUCAGGAUCCUGAGUACGGCGGAACACGUGAAAUUCCGUCGGAAUCCGGGAGGACCAUCUCCCAAGGCUAAAUACUACCUAGUGACCGAUAGUGAACCAGUACCGUGAGGGAAAGGUGAAAAGCACCCCGGGAGGGGAGUGAAAUAGUUCCUGAAACCAUGUGCCUACAAUAAGUCAGAGCGCGUUAAUGCGUGAUGGCGUGCCUUUUGUAGAAUGAACCGGCGAGUUAUGAUCCCGUGCAAGGUUAAGACUAAAAAGUCGGAGCCGUAGCGAAAGCGAGUCUGAAAUGGGCGUUUUGAGUACGAGGUUAUAGACCCGAAACCAGGUGACCUAUCCAUGUCCAGGUUGAAGGUGCGGUAAAACGCACUGGAGGACCGAACCCGUGUAAGUUGAAAAUUGCUGGGAUGAGGUGUGGAUAGCGGUGAAAUUCCAAACGAACUUGGAGAUAGCUGGUUCUCUCCGAAAUAGCUUUAGGGCUAGCCUCGGAAUUAGGAUCAUGGAGGUAGAGCACUAUUUGGACUAGGGGCCCGUCUUGGGUUACUGAAUUCAGAUAAACUCCGAAUGCCAUUGAUUCAUAUCCGGGAGUCAGACGAUGAGUGAUAAGAUCCACCGUCGAAAGGGGAACAGCCCAGACCAUCAGUUAAGGUCCCUAAAUGUAUGCUAAGUGGAAAAGGAUGUGGAGUUGCAUAGACAACUAGGAUGUUGGCUCAGAAGCAGCCACCAUUUAAAGAGUGCGUAAUAGCUCACUAGUCGAGUGAUCCUGCGCCGAAAAUGUACCGGGGCUAAGCAUACUACCGAAACCAUGGAUGCGACCAUUAGGUCGCGUGAUAGGAGAGCGUUCUAAGGGCGGUGAAGCAAGAUCGUGAGGACUUGUGGAGCGCUUAGAAGUGAGAAUGCCGGUAUGAGUAGCGAAAGAUAGGUGAGAAUCCUAUCCACCGAAUGACUAAGGUUUCCUGGGGAAGGCUCGUCCUCCCAGGGUUAGUCGGGACCUAAGUCGAGGCCGAGAGGCGUAGACGAUGGAUAACAGGUUGAGAUUCCUGUACUAGUUAAGUGCGUUUGAGCAAUGGAGGGACGCAGGAGGCUAAGAUGUGCAUUCUGUUGGAUUAGAAUGUCCAAGCAGUAAGUCUUGUGAAGAGUCAAAUGCUUUUCACUUUAAGGACAAGCUGUGAUGGGGAGCGAAAUUUAGUAGCGAAGCGUCUGAUGUCACACUGCCGAGAAAAGCUUCUAGUGAGUACUUAACUACCCGUACCGCAAACCGACACAGGUAGUCGAGGAGAGAAUCCUAAGGUGAGCGAGUGAACUCUCGUUAAGGAACUCGGCAAAAUGACCCCGUAACUUCGGGAGAAGGGGUGCUGAUCGCAAGAUCAGCCGCAGUGAAUAGGCCCAGGCGACUGUUUAUCAAAAACACAGGUCUCUGCAAAAUCGUAAGAUGACGUAUAGGGGCUGACGCCUGCCCGGUGCUGGAAGGUUAAAAGGAUGGGUUAGCUUCGGCGAAGCUCAGAAUUGAAGCCCCAGUAAACGGCGGCCGUAACUAUAACGGUCCUAAGGUAGCGAAAUUCCUUGUCGGGUAAGUUCCGACCCGCACGAAAGGCGUAACGAUCUGGGCACUGUCUCAACGAGAGACUCGGUGAAAUUAUAUUGUCCGUGAAGAUGCGGACUACCCGCGACAGGACGGAAAGACCCCAUGGAGCUUUACUGUAGCUUGAUAUUGAGUGUUUGUACAGCUUGUACAGGAUAGGUAGGAGCCAUAGAAACCGGAACGCUAGUUUCGGUGGAGGCGUUGGUGGGAUACUACCCUCGCUGUAUGACCACUCUAACCCGCACCACUAAUCGUGGUGGGAGACAGUGUCAGGUGGGCAGUUUGACUGGGGCGGUCGCCUCCUAAAAAGUAACGGAGGCGCCCAAAGGUUCCCUCAGAAUGGUUGGAAAUCAUUCGCAGAGUGUAAAGGCACAAGGGAGCUUGACUGCGAGACAGACAGGUCGAGCAGGGACGAAAGUCGGGCUUAGUGAUCCGGUGGUACCGUAUGGAAGGGCCAUCGCUCAACGGAUAAAAGCUACCCUGGGGAUAACAGGCUUAUCUCCCCCAAGAGUCCACAUCGACGGGGAGGUUUGGCACCUCGAUGUCGGCUCAUCGCAUCCUGGGGCUGUAGUCGGUCCCAAGGGUUGGGCUGUUCGCCCAUUAAAGCGGUACGCGAGCUGGGUUCAGAACGUCGUGAGACAGUUCGGUCCCUAUCCGUCGCGGGCGUAGGAAAUUUGAGAGGACCUGUCCUUAGUACGAGAGGACCGGGAUGGACAUACCUCUGGUGUACCAGUUGUGCCGCCAGGCGCAUCGCUGGGUAGCUACGUAUGGAUGUGAUAAACGCUGAAAGCAUCUAAGUGUGAAACACACCUCGAGAUGAGAUUUCCCAUUCCUUUAUGGAAGUAAGACCCCUGAAAGAUGAUCAGGUAGAUAGGUUAGAAGUGGCAGUGCGGUGACGCAUGAAGCGGACUAAUACUAAUCGGUCGAGGACUUAACCAAG
rnacentral:rRNA from 1 species